GAUGAAGAACGUAGCGAAAUGCGAUAAGUAGUGUGAAUUGCAGAAUUCCGUGAAUCAUCGAAUCUUUGAACGCACAUUGCGCCUUCUGGUAUUCCGGAAGGCAUGCCUGUUCGAGAGUCAUUAACAACCGUUUCGAUCCCUUUCUUUCAGAAAUUACAAAGAGGAAAAGGGUUUGGUUAUGGUGGAGGAGGGAAAGGGAGCGUUUAGCCUGUAAAAAAAGAGGCUGUGUUCCGCCUCCCCCCCAAAAUUGUACAGGCGGUCGUGUGCGCCCACGCAUCGAGGUGUUGUAAAAGCUGCCACGGCACUUUUCACCUGUGCAGUGCGAGNNUGGCCAGCCGGUUUAAAAACCCCUCCAAACAAUCAAAGGUUGACCUCGGAUCAGGUAGGGAUACCCGCUGAACUUAAGCAUAUCAAUAAGCGGAGGA
rnacentral:misc_RNA from 1 species